AUUUCCACAGUGCAGAUGUCACUUGGCCCCUGCAAACCCAGUGGACGCAGGAGCCCAGGCACAACAUUUCCAUUCCACGGGAGGAUGCAGUGCCCCAGGUCCACGAAACUUGGUCACAGACCGGCUGCAGCAUCUCAGGAUCACGCGUGUAGCCUGCUCAUUUGUCCCAGAAGUGUCGGCAGAGUAAAAGUGUGCAAAGCGCUGAAGCCCUGGGUGACCUGUGCUCUGAAAUGCGGCCCAGUGGGGAUUCAGGGGCAGCCAAACGCACCGACUGUGUCAGGCAAGAAUUCCACCUCAUUUCCAUUCCGAGGUUGGCAGAACAAAUCCUGAGAGUCUCGAAGCAGCGACAGUGCCUUCUCUGCCUCCUUGCGGGCGUGCAGUGGACUGUGGGAGCGUCUAGCCUGGUGGGCAUCCUUCACAGCGCAGGGCUCAGAACCUGCAUGCCCAAAGCCUGGGCCCAGCCCGGCCGGCCUGGUGCCAGUCCAGACGCCUCUGCGCUUACUGCUGCCCA